rnacentral:rRNA from 1 species
AUUGAACGCUAGCGGCAGGCCUAACACAUGCAAGUCGAACGAGUGGCGGAGGGGUGAGUAAUGUGCGGGAAACCGCGCGAGGGAGGGGGACAACAAUGGGAAACAGUAGCUAAUAGCGCACAAUAUCGGAUGUGCCCAGAUGGGUAUAUCUAGUUGGUGGGGUGACGGCUCACCUAGGCGACGACCCCUAGCUGGUCUGAGAGGAAGACCAGCGACACUGCAAGUGAGACACGGUCCAGAUUCCUACGGGAGGCAGCAGUGGGGAGUAUUGCACAAUGGGCGCAAGCCUAAUGCAGCCAUGCCGCGUGUAUGAAGAAGGCCUUCGGGUUGUAAAGUACUUUCAGUGAGGAGGCGUUGCUCGCAGAAGAAGCACCGGCUAACUCCGUGCCAGCAGCCGCGGUAAUAC